UACAGAGGGGGGCAAGCGUUAUUCGGAAUUAUUGGGCGUAAAGGGCGCGUAGGCGGCUUUGCAAGUGGCGGGUGAAAUCCCUCAGCUUAACCGAGGAACUGCCUGUCAGACUGGAAGGCUUGAGACCGGGAGAGGUGAGUGGAAUUCCCAGUGUAGCGGUGAAAUGCGUAGAUAUUGGGAGGAACACCAGUGGCGAAGGCAGCUCGCUGGGACGGUACUGACACUAAGGCGCGAAAGCGUGGGGAGCGAACAGG
rnacentral:rRNA from 1 species